AGUUACAGAUUGACACUUGACAGACACAGUACUGGUGGCUGUUGAACAGGACUAUUUUCUUUACUUUAGGAGCCCAGAGUUUACCCGUUGCUACCGUGCGCUGUCGAUUUGACUUCUGAAAGUAUCACUGUUGGAUGCUUGGCUAGUGGGGUCGUUCCUAAACAAAUACAAUUCAAAAGGGGUUCCCAGGCCAUAACAAGUGGCAAUAAGAAUUUCCAAAGCAGUAGCCUUGUGACCAUACCUCGGGCCGAUGCAAAAAAUGUUACCUGUACAGUGGAAUUUCAAUCAUCCAGUUCCCCAAUCAGCAUAGAAAUAAAAGUGAAAGGAGUAACAAAACAAGAAAAUAUCCCUGAGACAACAAAAGAAUCAAGGGUCUAUUUAUUUUGUCCUCAUAAAUUAGAUCUUAAUGAAGCGGAAACUCACAGCUAUGUGAGCCUUGUCUGUAUGAUCAAACCCCACAAGAAAAACACCAAACUUACCUGGAAGAAUGGUUCAUUACUUGGAAUAAUUACAGAUUUUGAACCAAACACAAAUGAUGUAAAUAUCAGUAUCCUGUCCAUCAAAAAAGAAGAUUGGGAUAAAGACAGCACUUAUAUAUGCCAAACAAAUCAAACUGAAGGCAAAAUAAGUCUCAGCACUUGCACAAAUGGUAAUUAGUGAUCAAUGUGCUUCAGCUCAUUGCCUGCUUACAGAUUUCUUGCUAUUCAUAUUUGCCUGAUGUUUAUGUAGAUGGUCAUGAAAAAGCCGACACAUUAUGUCAGUGUGCAGUACAGUAGUUGGCGACAUUAUACUAACACAGCUAACUGCAGAAACAAGAACGUAAAAUGUAGCAGUUUCAUUAACGCUUGGAUGUGAUUUUAUCCUGUCCAAUGAGAAACAUGUCCCUCGCCUGUUAUUAGAUUUCUUAUAACAUUACCUCAAUUUGCUUUAUAAUAAUACUGCUAUACAAACAUACACAGUUCUGCCACAUAUUUGGUACUGACUUUUGUUACACUAAUCUCCACUAUUGAAUAGCACUCAGAGAAAAGUCAUACACUGACCACUACCAAGAUACCACAGCCUCAUAGUGCACGCUUUAGUGUGGCCGUGGGAGAUGACCUAAUAACAUACUUUAUAACAAAUAUUAUAAAAUGCAUAUUUGCACCCCUGAAUUGCACGUGGAAACUGUUGCUUUUGCCUGAGCGACAAUAUGUGAAUGCUUACGCUGAGAUGCUUAUGCUCCAACAUCUACACUGGAGCUGUUAUUUCUAAUAUCUGUAACUGUUAAUCAACUUAUAUUCAUGCAUUAAACUAUGUUGUUCUAC